UACGUAGGUCCCGAGCGUUAUCCGGAUUUAUUGGGCGUAAAGCGAGCGCAGGCGGUUAGAUAAGUCUGAAGUGAAAGGCUGUGGCUUAACCAUAGUAUGCUUUGGAAACUGUUUAACUUGAGUGCAGAAGGGGAGAGUGGAAUUCCAUGUGUAGCGGUGAAAUGCGUAGAUAUAUGGAGGAAUACCGGUGGCGAAGGCGGCCCCCUGGACAAAGACUGACGCUCAGGUGCGAAAGCGUGGGGAGCAAACAGG
rnacentral:rRNA from 1 species